rnacentral:snoRNA from 1 species
CAGACUUUACUAUCAGGGAUCAUUUCCAUAGUUUGUCACUAGAGAAGUUUCUCUGAACGUGUACAGCACUGGAAACCACGAGGAGGUGCAGGUUCUCUCCUGAGCGAGAAGCCGGGUCUUGGUGUUGCUUUGCUGCUACUGCCAUUUGCCAUUGAUGAUCGCUCUUCUCGCCAUUCUUAGGGAAGGAAGUAAGAGGGAGAGGAAAAAAAAAGA